AGAAUGUCUCUGAAAUGAGAUGAGUGGAAAAUGCCUUAAACAGGUGGAUGUGGAACAGGUCGGGGACUUUAAGGACUUCAGUGGAGGAGGGGUGGGUUGGGGAAGGGAAACAAAUGAAGAUGUCUUAGAAGUCACUGCAAUUUAUAUGGAAUCUGUUCAACGCCGACACUGAACCAUAUGAGAAGACGUUUGAAACUAUUGCUUUGCUGAAAACAUCUGACUGCCAGGCUAGGAUGUGACACUUAAGGGACUUACCAAUUUGGGAUUCUUCCAGGAGCUGAAAACUGAUUGCAAAUAUGAAACAGAUUUCACUACAGGACUUGAACCCUACAUUAAAAAACAACAAGCUCCCCAAAAUAAUUGAAAAAGAUCUUCACCAAAGAGUAGCUGCAAUGUGAAUGGCAGGAUAUGAAGCAAGUAAGAGAGCUAUCACUGCCAAAGGCUACUGACUAAUGGUGAAAAGAUUAUCUUAAGCUUGGAAUUAAGUGAUGAAAGGGACCUUCGAAAUUAUCAACUCUAAAUACUUCUUUACAGGAAAAUUGAAAGCAGUUAAGAACCUGCCCCCUACCGUGGAGUUCUUGGUGCCGUGAGUUGGAGUUCUUGGUGCCUGGGUGCGUCCCCAAGGCCACUGGUCUUCAGAUCUUUCUUACUUGAGAAGAACGCCUCCGCCUCCUGGCUCUCCCACCAGUGGUAUUGCCACCACCACACACCAGCAUAAAGCACAGAUUGCUGCCCAGCUCCUUGGAGAGGGGCCAGUGCAUUUGUCAGGAAUUGAAAAGUUUUGGAGCCAGUUCGAGGACUUUCUCCUGCACAAAGUGUUGGCUGGAAGCAUGAUUAUCUCACACAGAGCGUUGGAAUUACUUCAUGAUGAUUUCAAAGAAAAUUUUCUUCUCUAAACACUCUUAUCCCAAGGGCAUCCUAAAGUUCCUCUGGAAUGCAUUGGGUGGGAGAGAAAGUUCUAUGUCAACUCUUCUGGCAGAGGGAAAAGCUGACCGAGGAAGUCAAAAUGAAAGAAAGAAGCAGACAGGACUGAGGCUCCCUGAGAUGCAGAAACUGAGGCACAGAGCAAGGGGCUAGGAUUCUUGACUUUCUUCUGCAGAACACUGAAACAUGCCUCCUCUUUCCUGGCCCCACCAAGCAGAGUUUAGGCUUCAAGAAGACUGAAUGCAUCUGUACAGAGCACAAUCCCUUCUCCAAGAAGGAAACCAUGGGGCUUAUCAAGAAAGGCGUACACUGAAGAGACUGGAAAGUGAAGAUGCACUAUUUGUCAAGAUGUGCCACAGCAGAAGCAAGUUGUGUUGGCAGUAGGAAACAAGAUAAAGAGAAGAACUCAAAGAAUUGAGAGAAGGCUUUGAACAUGAUGAUGGAGAAAUAACACUCUUGGGAGAAAUGAAGAUACUUUCUCCUCCCUGGUUUACCUGAGUUUCCAGCACCCAGUGAUAAGAAAGGAUGGCAUUAGUGAUGUGUACACCUGCAGUGAUAGCUUCACCUUUCUAAAGCAGAUGCCGUGGUAGACAUUUUGCCAGCCCUCCUUUCACUAUACACACAGCUUGGUGUACGCUGGCAGACUUUUGACCUAAUUUCUUAACCCUCAAAUAUUCCAAGACAGAACAAAGCACACAACAAAACCAGAAUGAGGCCGGGCAAAGUGGCUCAUGCCCGUAAUCCCAGCACUUUGGGAGGCUAAGGGGUGGGCAGAUCACUUGAGGUCAGGAGUUUGAGACCAGCCUAGGCAACAUGGUGAAACCCAGUCUCUACUGAAAAUACAAAAAUCAGCCGGGUGUGGUGGCAAAUGCCUGUAAUCCCAGCUACUGGGGAGGCUGAGACACAAGAAUCACUUGAACCCAGGAGGGGGAGUUUGCAGUGAGCCGAGAUUGUGCCACUGCAUGCCAGUCUGAACAACAGAGCAAGACUCUGUCACAAAAACAAACAAAAAACUGAAUGAAUGGAAGCAGAUAAGUGCAGAGAGAAACACUGAUUUACCUUCAGAAAGAUAAAAAAGUAGUAUAUUGAUAUACUUGUAUAUUGCUAUCUACUAGUAUAGCUUCAGUUGGUGUAUGAGUAUAGAACUAUUGGGUUGUUCUUUAUGUGAUUACUCCUUCCCAGUUUUAGUAAAGUAUUCCAAUUUGAGGGAAAUUCUUUCAUUUGUCAAUAAAAUAAAAAGAGGUAAGUUUUAAAAUCUG
rnacentral:lncRNA from 1 species